rnacentral:rRNA from 1 species
AACGAACGCUGGCGGCGUGCCUAACACAUGCAAGUCGAGCGCGAAAAGGGCAACCUGAGUAGAGAGGCGCACGGGUGCGUAACACGUGGGUAAUCUGCCUUAGAGUCGAGGAUAACCUUCCGAAAGGUUGGCUAAUACUCGGUAAGCUUACGGUGUCUUCGGACGCUGUGGGAAAAGUAGGCCUCUGUUUACAAGCUUACGCCCAUAGAUGAGCCCGCGCCCCAUCAGCUAGUUGGCGGGGUAACGGCCCACCAAGGCGACGACGGGUAGCGGGUCUGGGAGGACGCUCAGCCACACUGGAACUGCGACACGGUCCAGACGCCUACGGGAGGCAGCAGUGGGGAAUUUUCCACAAUGGGCGAAAGCCUGAUGGAGCAACGCCGCGUGUGUGAUGAAGGUUUUCGGAUCGUAAAGCACUUUCGACUGGGACGAAAAACCUUUGGCUAACAUCCAGGGGCCUGACGGUACCAGGAGAAGAAGCACCGGCUAACUCUGUGCCAGCCGCCGCGGUAACAC